UUUUUUGUUCACUGUGCUAGGGAGGGUGAGCGAUUCUGGGAAAUUCCUUGUGGCCGUGAAAGGCCAGGAUGCCAUACUGAUUGUAUUGCAAUGAGCGGGCAUUAUUUAGGCCAAGUGUUUAAUAUUCAAUAUUUUAUCUUUCCACAUCACGGGAAUGAGCUCGCGCAAAGCCGAGUAGUGAAUCCUGAGAGUGAGGUCAAAUGCUGGAUGCAUAUGGGUUUUGUCAACGACAAUGGCCAAAAGGCGGCAAAAGUAGACAAAAACUUCUUCACUAUCAAAGAUACUACAUUGUCCAGCAGAAACUAGAGCAACAGUCCAGCAGAAAAGGAAGCAGCCAGAGAAGAAGCAGCAGUAGGAAAAGAAAUAGUCCGAGGUUCAGUGGCGCAUUCUCCAGUGCUCUGCAGCUUCUUCGCCAUUAUUGAUGGGUCAUAUAAAAACUUAUGGAUUUGGAUGAUGCUUCAAAAAUGUCGACUGACAUGACAUAGGCACUGACGUACCGAUGAUGGGCCGCAAAAGAUUUAUUUAUAUAUAUGUUUAAUUUCCAGUGGACGGGUAAAUUUAUUCUUGUUAUUACUAUAUUGAAGGAAGAAGGGAGGAAGAGAAGCAAAUUAUAACACAGUUUAGUUCAUGGUCUAGGAGCAAGGAAAGUACACAUCCAUCUUUGUGAUAUUGAUAGGCAUAAUACUACAUACAGACUCUCUCAAUUGUCUAGAUAGGUCAUCAAGUAACGGUUAGCAGUUCAUGCUUCUGCUUCACCUUUUAAUUAAUUAUCCGCUUUUAAGUAUUUGUUGCUGAAGUGAGCAUCAAAUUGCAGGAAUUUUGUAAUUCAUCAGUAGAAUUAUCCGCUUCAUUCGCUUUUAUUAUAACGCACGGGCAUUUUGUAACAUCUUGCCGA